rnacentral:rRNA from 1 species
GGUGAGUAACACGUGGGCAAUCUGCCCUGCACUCUGGGACAAGCCCUGGAAACGGGGUCUAAUACCGGAUAUGACACGCUCCCGCAUGGGAUGCGUGUGGAAAGCUCCGGCGGUGCAGGAUGAGCCCGCGGCCUAUCAGCUUGUUGGUGGGGUGAUGGCCUACCAAGGCGACGACGGGUAGCCGGCCUGAGAGGGCGACCGGCCACACUGGGACUGAGACACGGCCCAGACUCCUACGGGAGGCAGCAGUGGGGAAUAUUGCACAAUGGGCGAAAGCCUGAUGCAGCGACGCCGCGUGAGGGAUGACGGCCUUCGGGUUGUAAACCUCUUUCAGCAGGGAAGAAGCGAGAGUGACGGUACCUGCAGAAGAAGCGCCGGCUAACUACGUGCCAGCAGCCGCGGUAAUAC